UUGAAAAUUCUAAACAUCAGAGAUUUUCCAAGAAAUGUCCUAUUGUCAUUUUCCUCAGCUACGUAGAUCUAACAUAGCUUGUCUGUUCAGAGUUAAUAACAAUGUUUUUGUGUGACAUUAGACAUGUGACUGUUUACUGUUCAGUAGACAUAUUGUGCUGUUGACUUAUUUUGUGCACGUAGGAAUUUAUUUUACCUUUUACCCUAACUGUGUAUUUGACUGAGGUAAUAGCCAAGUGUACAUUUUAUAAAAUAGAUAUAAACUGGUUAGAAGUGAUACAUGUAUAUGUAUCAUGUAUAUAUAUGUAUAGUCUUUUGUAGAAUUUAUUUUGCUUGUAUUUCAUACACACUAGUGUAACGGUGGAUAUGUAAUAUAUCUAUAUGUAGUAUACUUAUUUGUGCAGGGCUAUUCACUGUACAUCAAUAAAGGAGGUUCCAGCCUGCGUCCCUGAGACAAGGGCAGAUCCGGACUAUCGUGAAGUUCUCACUCUACGCCCAUUGAAAAUAAAUCCCUUCUGACCCAA